CCUGCAGCCUGCGUUUUGAGUAUAUUCCUUCAAAUGAGUUUUCAUUGGCCACACCCUGGGAAUCAGGCCCGGUCGUGGCUGAAAGACACUGUUUCCCGCGAGAAUUUUCACUGACCUCUCCUCCCAUUUCUCAUCCCGGAAACAAAUUCGGGAAAAGCCCGGAAGCAUUCGCAUCUCUCCUGCUUCUGACACAGCUGCAGGGGUACAGCCGUCCUGACCCUUGGUCGUCCAGGGUUUUCUGAUUUAGGAUUCUCUCGAGGCUAACACAGGAAGAUGAAGUUGGCCUCAGUGAGCUCAUUCACCUGCAACCUGGUGACGAUUCCAUGCACAGCCCAAGGACACCAGGCUGCUGCACUUGGUCACAAUCUUCCAAUAUGAUCAUAGACUUCCAAAAGGACGCUUUGAGAAAGGACACUCACCUUGAUUUGGGAAAUUAACCCCUGGCGUUAACUGCAUCACUGAAAAUGAGAUUGAAUUCAAGAUUUAAAAACAAACAAACAUAUUUUUUAGACAAGUUUUUUUAUUACACACACAUUUCAAGAGAAUAUACACAGCCUGAAUACAUACAGUGUGUGUGAGACACACACAACACACACAUCUCCAUGCACAGCCUGAAUCAGAUACUCUUUGCUGCCCUUGCCAGCUUCUCGUCAGCCCUCUGUUCCUAACAACCCAAAGAGCAGGGAACUGGAAAAGAAUUUCAGCACAGUAGCAUCACUUUCUUCCAAUCUGAAUGUGUUGAUUUCUUGAGCAAAAUUUCAUCACGGUCUCCCUUCUGCAGAUGCAAAAGGAUCUUCCUUCCUGCUGUCUCCAUCUCCCUUUCCUGGAAUUUCUUUUCUCUCUUCUUUUCAGCUCGUUCUCCACCCCGGAAUUGGCCACUAAUUCAAAGAUCCCUUGACUUAAAAUUGCAGGCAUGAUUCCUAUGGCAGAAAUGGGAAUUUGUUCUCCUCCCCAGCCAGCUGGUUCUUUGGGUAACAUCUUCAGCCCACACAUCAAAGGAACUUCCCUUUAUUAUACUUACUUCCCAAAGAACAGAAGUGCACUGUGAUUCAGAAAAUAUUUCUGAGCCCUGACCCCAUCCCCAAAACACUUCCAUCCUUCCCCAAGCCUCCUUUGAAGGAACAUACCUAUCAGUGUGCUAAAAGACAGUUGUUUGUCUUUUGAUUUCACCAUAUUAUUGCCUGUAUGAAAUAUGUACAUGUUUUAUAUAUUCUCCUAUUAGUUUCACCUUAUAUUUCAUAUUGUUGAAAGAUCCUUUUUCUUUUUUCCUUCCAAGGAGUCCUCUUGUAAAAUCUCUUAUGUGAUUAAUCUUUAUGCUAUUACUGUAUAUGACAUUUGGUAAUAAAUAGUAAAUCAUGGACAAUAUGGUGCAGUCCAGAAUGUAUGUUAAUAAUCUUAUAAAACAUUAUCACAGACAUUAAGCUAAACUGUUCCAUUUUCUGUAAGAACCACACAUGCUUUGGAAUGGUUGUAGAUAUUGAUUUGUCUAAAAUAUUUAAUUUAAAUAAACGUUUUUGUACCGUGA